rnacentral:misc_RNA from 1 species
AACGCACCUUGCACCCUGGGGCAUUCCCCAGGGUAUGUCUGUCUGAGUGUCAUUUGAACUCUCAAAGUCCCUUUCUCUUAACUGAGACUGUGUUCUUUGGAUCGUGGGCGCUUGCGGGCCUGGUCCGCUCGCCUCAAAUUGAAUGUGGCGGUCUUCUCUGAAGCCUGUGUCGGGUUUGACCUGGAGUGAUAGAAGUCUUUCGAGAUCUCCGGGAACUGCCUUUAUGGCGGCCUGCUAUGGUGGGAGUGAUUGCUUUGAUAGACUCAUCUGACGUUUUUGACCUCAGAUCAGGCAGGACUACCCGCUGAACUUAA